GACGAACGCUGGCGGCGCGCUUAACACAUGCAAGUCGAGCGAUGAAAUUUCGACAGAUCCCUUCGGGGUGAAGAUGAAAUGGAUUAGCGGCGGACGGGUGAGUAACACGUGAGUAACCUGCCUUUGACAUUGGGAUAGCCUCGGGAAACUGGGAUUAAUACCAAAUGACACUAACUGAUCACAUGAUCAAUUAGUCAAAGAAAUUCGGUCAAAGAUGGACUCGCGGCUGAUUAGCUAGUUGGUGAGGUAACGGCCCACCAAGGCGACGAUCAGUAGCCGGCCUGAGAGGGUGAUCGGCCACAUUGGAACUGAGACACGGUCCAAACUCCUACGGGAGGCAGCAGUGGGGAAUAUUGCACAAUGGGGGAAGCCCUGAUGCAGCGACGCCGCGUGAGCGAAGAAGGCCUUCGGGUCGUAAAGCUCUUUUAUGAGGGAAGAUAAUGACGGUACCUCAAGAAAAAGCCCCGGCUAACUACGUG
rnacentral:rRNA from 1 species